CUUUAGAAGAUCUUGCUGGAUAUAUUAACUUCAGUUUUUCACUCCUGCGCAUGCACAAGGAUAUAUGCAUUGUUCAUAGAGAACACACAUCGUUCAUAGAGGGAGAGAAGUUUUAAAGCAGCUCUGUCACCUUCUGGCGUCUCUGCAUAUUUAGAAAAGAUACCAAAUGGUGACUUCAGUUCUUGCUGUGAGGUGACCCUGGGUUACAGGGAAAGGUGAGUUUUACUGAUCUGAACUUGUUUCUUAUGGCCACCAACAUCUUCUUCCGCAGAGCCCUCAUUAGGUCUUGACACUUCUUCUGCCCGGAGCCAUGCAUGCGAGACUGUACAAUACUGAUGUCUAUGGAGGCCUGAACAAACUUGAGUUUUGACUGAUAUUUUGACCUAAUAUCUUUUGACUGGGAUGCAAUUUUCGUUAAAUUCCAAUAAAGUGUGUAUGUGCAUUUAAUAAAG